rnacentral:lncRNA from 8 species
AGUAACAUCAUCCUGUGUAAGGGUUUGUCCUUCUGCUGUGUUCCACACAGGGAGAAGCAGGGCCAGAUGGACCAGUUGGCUGUAAAGGGCCCCCAGGUCCCAUAGGAUUGUCAGGACAGAGAGGCUCUCCUGGACUUCAAGGAAUCCAAGGACAUCCAGGGAGGUAUGGUCUUCCAGGUCAAAAAGGUGACAUGGUAAGUUUAGUCACGUUCAUCUUCUGUUUAAUAAAAUUAAUCUCUUGUCAAAACCCACAUAGGCCCAGUCAUAAAUCAACCCCUGCCUCUAUCCCCUAGACACUUGCUGAUGGCACCUGGUAGGACUUGGUUUAGUCUAUUUGAUUAUGUUUGUCUAUCUCUGAUUCCUUAAAGGGUGAAGUGGGGCCAGUGGGCAUGAAGGGUUUACCAGGCCUUGAAGGGCCCAUGGGGACUGCUGAAAUUCCAGGUCUGAAGGGGGCUCCAGGUGGCACAGGCUUCAGAGGACUAGAUGGAGACAAAGGAGAUGCUGGACCCAAAGGAGACAGGGGUUCUGUUGGUGCGUCAGGGAUCCUAGGCCGUCAGGGUGAGAGGGGUCAGAGUGGCCUCUCAGGCCUUCCUGGUGUCAGAGGUCAAGCUGGCCCCCAAGACAUUCCGGUAAACAUCAGGGUGACACCUGCUAUUCACAGCCUUUAUUAA